GGCUUUGUGCAGUGGCAGUCUCGUAGCCUGUGAGGAUGAUCCGAGGCGUGAUUAUUGCUGGUUGAAAACUUUUCCCAAUACCCUGCUGGGACGUCUUGUGACACUGAUGCUACUGGCAAUUUUUGACUAUUUCUCAGGAGG